rnacentral:rRNA from 1 species
UUAAAAAGCUCGUAGUUGGAUUUCUGGACGAAGCUGUCGGUCCGCCGCUGUGCGGUGCGUACUUGAUCAGCCUUCGUUCAUCCUUGCAGGGAAGCGCAUUUCGGCAUUCAGUUGUCGGGGCGGGGAACUGCAUCUUUUACUGUGAAAAAAUUAGAGUGUUUAAAGCAGGCAUUUUGCUGUGAAUACAUUAGCAUGGAAUAAUAACAUAGGACCUCGGUUCUAUUUUGUUGGUUGGAGACCAAGGUAAUGAUUAAUAGGGACAGUUGGGGGUAUUCAUAUUUAAUUGUCAGAGGUGAAAUUCUUGGAUUUAUGAAAGAUGAACUCAUGCGAAUGCAUUUACCAAGGAUGUUUUCAUUAAUCAAGAACGAAAGUUAGGGGAUCGAAGAGGAUUAGAUACCCUCGUAGUCUUAACCAUAAACUAUGCCGACUAGGGAUUGGAGGACGUACAUUUUUGGCUCCUUCAGCACCUUACGAGAAAUCAAAGUCUUUGGGUUCCGGGGGGAGUAUGGUCGCAAGGCUGAAACUUAAAGGAAUUGACGGAAGGGCACCACCAGGAGUGGAGCCUG